GAGUAGGUCCACGUGCGUCCCUCCCGAAGCUGCGCUCUCGGUCGAAGAGGAUGACCUUCCCCGAUAGAGAUGGUACUGUUCAUGGAUCAAGGGUAUCUGGUAGCUGCACUCCCCUGCUAGAACCUCCAAACAAGACCAAGGUCCAUUUGUAGGAGAAUGUAAGGUUGUCAAGCUUCGAAGACUGCAGACACAUCCAAGUGAGGUACUUCAUGGGGCAGUCUGCCAUCAUUU
rnacentral:snRNA from 1 species